rnacentral:lncRNA from 10 species
GUUCCAGGCGCCGGGCCCCCGGGACCCGGCCAGAGCCGAGCGCAGUGGCAGACGCGGGUGCGGGGGUUCUUUUAGGGGCGCCGGUUUCGGGGGACGCGGCUCUCCAAGGUCUGGAAAUGCUCAGGGCGGAGGGGGAGACAUCGGGAGGCCUGGGACCUGCAGAAGCCUGAGAAAGUGAAGUUGGUGCCAAGGAGCGUGCGUUCUUUGUUUCUUCUUUUUUCCUUCGGAGCCCAGCUUGUAAAGAGUAGAAGAACCGGACAUUGGUGGAGGAAUUCAAACAAGAGAGCCCGGAGGCGUCCUCUGCUGUGGCCCAGAGCUAGCGCCUACUCCACGAAGCUCAGCUGGGGUUAACAGGCUUCUGUUAAAAUUUCCCGGGCACUGGGAAAAUUUCAGGUGCCUUCGCCUCGGUGGACUCCUUUCCCUGCUAACAAAAUUAUUAAAAAUAAGAUUUUGCAACUGCGUUGGCAUAAGGAAAAGUAUAUUAAUAUUGCAUAUUAAAACAUGUUCUUCAGCCUAAAGCUUUACUUAUUUUUUUCUGAUUUUAAAAGAAAUCAAAACAUUUUCAUGGGCCCCAAAAGACUAUGGUCCCUGGCACUGGGCCUGCGGUGCUUAAUGCAGAAGUCUACCCUGCGUGUCUGAUAUUUCUUCUGGGAAAUAAAGAGCUAGUGAGACCC